rnacentral:lncRNA from 1 species
ACAGGAGCCCCAGCCCCACACAGCAACCACCCGGGCGAGAAAGAAAGAAAGAGCCAGGGAGGCGGGCGAAGCGCGGGGAGAGAAGCAGAGAAGAAAUAUUCACCUUCCCGCCUCAUGCCCACUUUGAGGCACUUCUUGAGGCGGCAGUAUUGGCACUGGUUGCGGUGGUGCUGGUCGAUGGGACAGUUCCUGUUGGCACGGCAUGUGUAAGUUAAGUUCCUGCGGACGCUCCUCUUGAAGAAACUUUUGCAGCCCUCGCAGCAGGUAGAUGAAACUCAAGAGAAAAGGUGUGGAUAAAUGAAACUAGCCCAUGAUGAACCUGUUUUCUCCGUGACCACAAUAUUAACCAGGAUGAAUGGCGGUGAAACAGUCGCAAAUGGAAUUCCAAGAAACAUUCUAUAUACACUGCCUCUAGGACUGGGACAGAUAGCCACUGAGUACCUGCUUCAAAUCACCCUGCACGUUUUCUCUUUGGAAAGAUAAGCACUGGAGAACCAUCUCGUUACCUUCAGCAGAAAUGGAAACAAAUCAAGACAUUAAGAAUGCCGCAGUGGACAGCAGUUAUGCAAGGUUCAGCAGAGGAAGUUUUCAAGAUGGUGUGCCUCACUAGCCAGAAAUCAGAAAAGAUCGAAGCUAGCCUUUUCAUCUCAGCUGCUCCUUAAAUCAGUGCAACCCCUCCAAAUUAAUGUGAAUUGAAACUUGCAUUGCUUUUCAACUUAAUUGAAUACUUACUAUAUGUGAACCACUGCACAAAAUAGGGGAAGAAGAUGUGGGAGACAAAGAUGUGGAGCCUGUCUUCAAUAAAUUUACAGUUAGUUUCAGGGUACAUUGUUUUUCUUCUGCUGUUAAUUAGGUGUAUCCCCAAGACAAUAAAUACAUGAAUGGAAAAGUAUAUUCUGUGUUUUAAGUCUCUUUAAUAAAAAACAAAACAAAAUCCAAAAAAACUCCUAACAUGGCAACUCAGGACAUUUUAAUCCUUUUUUUUGUUGUUGGGCUUCUGAUAGGAUCCAUUUUAUUGAUUCCAUAAAUAUUUAGUAGACUUUAGACAUAUUAAUACAUUGUAGUUUGAGUUAAUUUGCAUUAAAUUCUGUUUUUUUCCCCUUAGGUAUAGAUUGUCUGUUGGAAAAAUAUAUUGCUUGUGGAUUUCUUGGGGAGUGGGAAGGUGAAUUAUACCUGUUGUCUCUACAGUCCACUACCUUCCACACCCUAGGGCAGUGGUCCCCAACCUUCUUGGCACCAGGGAUCAGUUUCCUGGAAGACAAUUUUUCUGUGGAUGGUGUGGGGAUGGUUUUGGGAUGGAACUGUUCCACCUCAGAUCAUCAGGCAUUAGUUAGGCUCUCAUAACGAGUGCGCAGCCUAGAUCCCUCACAUGCACAGUUCACAGUAGGGUUUGCGCUGCUAUGAGAAUCUAAGGCUGCCACUGAUCUGACAGGAGGCAGAACUCAGGUGGCAAUGCUUACUGGCCCACUGCUCACCUCUUGCUGUGCGGCCUGGUUCCUAAUAGGCCAUGGACCCCCACAGACGGGUACUAGUCUGCAGCCUGUGGACCCCAGCCCUAGGGGCCUGCCAUUCUGAGUGAGUUAUUAGCAUGAAGAAGAGGAAGAUCUGGAUCAAACGUGGGUGAUGGUACUCAGAGACCCAAGAUAGGAUAGGGAUGGAACAAAAUCCAUCUGGGCAACGGCUCUAUGAAAAUUUGGCUAAGUAAUUAUUUCAGUAUUCAUUGUAUUCAUUGUCCUUCGUGUUCCAUAAGUUAAAUGACUGUCUAAUUUUUCCAAAAAUUUAUUUCUGACUUGAGAAUAAGUGUGUCAUGAUUUUCCCAGUGUAAAGACACUGAUAUAACUGUAGAUACCAGACAUUUUAUGUAGUGUCUAUGACACAUUUUAGUAUGUAUGAGCCAACAAUAGACAUGUCUUUGUCUUGAGGAGUGUCCAUCUGAAUUGAAAAUGUGUCAGCUUUUUUUUAACAUCAUCAACAGACUUCUUAAUUAAGCUGCCAAUACAUACUGCCAAUAGCACUGUGUGCUGUCUGAGAAAUGCAUUGUGUAAGUGCUAUUUCCAUCUUAUUAAAUAAACAAUGUUGCUCUGUAUAAACUGGAUUUAAAGUGUUCUUUGAAUGAGGCAUUAUAUUGCUCCAUAAAUAAUGUGAUGUGAAUUCUCAUAUGAUCCCUUUUAACUUAAUUUCUAAAAAAAUAUUAUUUGCUCCUCAGUAAGGAAUAGCUCUAAUUGGACUGGUAACUUUAGUGAUAUGAUUUGUCUGUAACAGGCUGAAUCGCCCCACUCCCAAACUCCUGGUCGUGAUACUGGAUAUUUGUUAUGCCACUUUUAGUUUGCAUGAGGUAUCUUCCAGGAAGUAUUAGUUAUUAACUUGUGUUCUACUAAACUGUAGAUAUUUAUUUCCUGUUCUGGAAGAUUUCUUGGAGUGUCCAUCUGUGCAUUCCUGGUGCCUAGUGUAGUCUUGCUAAUGGAAUAGCACCUUUAUUGGUGCUACUUAGGGGUUGGUAGCUUACAAUCAAUCUACUUGGAACGUAUCCAAAUAAACUGGAUAUUUUUAUACA